rnacentral:rRNA from 1 species
CUUGGAACAGGACGUCGCAGAGGGUGAGAAUCCCGUACGUGACCGGCCUCCACACCCGUGUGAAGCUCCUUCGACGAGUCGAGUUGUUUGGGAAUGCAGCUCAAAAUGGGUGGUAAAUUUCAUCUAAAGCUAAAUAUUGGCCAGAGACCGAUAGCGCACAAGUAGAGUGAUCGAAAGAUGAAAAGCACUUUGAAAAGAGAGUCAAACAGUACGUGAAAUUGUUGAAAGGGAAGCGCUUGCAACCAGACUUGCCCGCGGGUGAUCAACCGGUAUUCUUACCGGUGCACUCGCCCGUGGUCAGGCCAGCAUCGGUUUGGGCGGCUGGAUAAAGUUCACCGGAAAGUAGCUCCUCCCGGGGAGCGUUAUAGCCGGUGGUGCAAUGCAGCCCGCCUGGACCGAGGACCGCGCUUCGGCUAGGAUGCUGGCGUAAUGGUUGUAAGCGACCCGUCUUGAAACACGGACCAAGGAGUCUAACAUCUAUGCGAGUGUUUGGGUGUUAAACCCAUGCGCGUAAUGAAAGUGAACGGAGGUGGGAACCCUCAAGGGUGCACCAUCGACCGAUCCAGAUGUCUUCGGAUGGAUUUGAGUAAGAGCAUAGCUGUUGGGACCCGAAAGAUGGUGAACUAUGCCUGAAUAGGGUGAAGCCAGAGGAAACUCUGGUGGAGGCUCGCAGCGGUUCUGACGUGCAAAUCGAUCGUCAAA